AUGCAAAGUGAUGGUUGUAAUUGUGUGAAUGCGCUGUGUGCGACUCUCCUCCUGCUUGUGAAGGACCACUUCGAGCAGAGCCAGUUCGAGGAGGUCGCCAGGUCUCCCGCGGGGGGGAAGAAGCUCAAACCCAACGCCAUCCCCACUCUGUUCCACGUCGGAGACGCUCCGUUCCCCGCGGUCGCCGCGCCGUUCCACGCCAUCCUGCUGCCCCUCAAACACGAGCCACUGGAGAAGGAGCUGAGCUUCGGGGACCACGGCUACGCCCGACGCACCCCUCUGCCCGGCGCCGAGGAGGAGGAUGCAGCGGCUGAGGAGCAGCUGUGCUGCACACAGUGUCAGCACCUGAGGAAGCAGCUGGAGCAAGAGCUGCAGCACACUGCGCGGUUACAGAAGGAGGCAGAGGAGAUGAAGAAACGUCUAUAUCGUCUUGACCGGAUUGAAAAAGGUCUUCAGAACUUUCUCUACGAGGAUCAGAUUCGGGCCCUUUCGCUCACGAAGCGCUCCCGACGCGCUGUCUGGUCCCCGGAGACCAUCCUGAAGGCCCGCAAGCUUCGCUGUGCAGUGGGCUCCAAGGGUUACGAGUACCUUAGAGAACUGGGCUACCCGUUGCCCUCCUACAGGACUCUGUGUAACCGCGUUGAAACCAAGAUCAUGGUGACGACCGACAUGAGCUGCGAGGAGCUGGCAGAGCUGGGCCUGGGCCUCAUGGCCACCUGUGACAGCCCCACGGACGGCGACGGGGACCGCGACCAUGAGGAACUCAUAGGUAUUUUGUCCUGAUCCCUGCGGGCUCCAACCUCCAACCUGAAGAAGAACGCGCAGAAUUUGUAGCAUCAGCUAAAACAGGCAUGUUAUUCUCCUUGUCCCCGCUUUGAACACAAUGAUUCUUCUGCUCACAAGGUUCUUGAGAUCAUUUACAGAUUUGAGAGGUCACAUGGCUGCGCUUGUGACAUGCACCACUACAGACAAACUGCAUCUUUGCUUAGUGAAACGCAGAGGUUGCAUUCAGUGUGGCUUUAUUCCUGUGGUGUUUGAGGUUGAAGUUGUGUGUAAAGUGUAGACGUAGGUUGAGCAAAGUCUACAGUAUUUGCUGCUUUUUGUGUGUUUUCACUUUGUCGAAACGGGUAAUUAAAACCCUGAUUAUAUUCAGUAUGCUUGAAUGUACUUAGAGUAAAUAAACCUGCAUUUUGCAUAAAUUCUUGAGUUUUU
rnacentral:lncRNA from 1 species